rnacentral:rRNA from 1 species
CUGGGCGUAAAGCGCGCGUAGGCGGUUUGUUAAGUCAGAUGUGAAAUCCCCGGGCUCAACCUGGGAAUGGCAUUUGAGACUGGCAGGCUAGAGUAUGGUAGAGGUGAGUGGAAUUUCAGGUGUAGCGGUGAAAUGCGUAGAGAUCUGAAGGAACAUCAGUGGCGAAGGCGACUCACUGGGCCAUUACUGACGCUGAGGUGCGAAAGCGUGGGUAGCAAACAGGAUUAGAUACCCUGGUAGUCCACGCCCUAAACGAUGUCAACUAGGUGUAUGGAGAAAAUAUUCUUUGUGUAUCGAAGCUAACGCGAUAAGUUGACCGCCUGGGGAGUACGGUCGCAAGACUAAAACUCAAAUGAAUUGACGGGGGCCCGCACAAGCGGUGGAGCAUGUGGUUUAAUUCGAUGCAACGCGAAGAACCUUACCUGGCCUUGACAUG